CCAACGGCCCUCUUUAGGGCCACAAAUUUCUUAAAAAGUCCAAAA
rfam:Caenorhabditis japonica strain DF5081 Contig11027.2, whole genome shotgun sequence.